CGAUAGUGGUCGAGUCUCCCAGGACUGCGCGGCGCGCUCUCAGAAGGAUGCGCCUGCGCAUUGUGCUGGUCUCCAUGGCAGGGCCUCGGAGCCAAGACGAGAAGAAAUGCUGCUGUGAAGACACAAUUAUGGCUCUCACACAAAUGAAGCCACAACUGUCAUGAUUUAGUGCCCCUCAAAGGAAGAACUUGAGUGGACAAGAGAGGGCAUUUCUGGGACUAGUAAAAUGUUUGAGGCCUGAGUUUAUACUUGAGCUACUACCUGAAGCUAUUAACUAAUAGAAGAAAAUGGAAUUGAAUAUACCAGCAUGGAACAAUCUAACGAUUCCCUAAGAGUCAACCAUAAUGAUUCUGAAGAAUCAAAAACAGAUUCUCAAGUAUAUGAGCAUCUAACCUGCAUGGACUCCAGGGAUCCUUCCUUUGGACAGAAUGGUUCUCCUAGAGUUUUACCCAUCGCCUCUCAUGAAGCAGAUAAUUCACUCACAUCACAGAAUAUACCAGGGCAGACACAGACUCUUUCUGCAGAACAAUUCCAUCUAGUGGACCAAAAUAAGCAACCUAUUCAAUAUGAACUCCAGUCAUUGGGGGAUUCUAAUGCACAAAUGAUGAUUGUUGCCAACCCCUCAGAAAAUGGACAGGUGCUGCAUGUAAUUCCAUCUACACAGACAGGAAUGGCACAAGUGAUUGUACCUCAGGGGCAGCUUGUGGAUGUGAAUAGUCCUCAGGAUGUCUCUGAAGAGAAGUCCAAUGAUAGAAAUGUACCAACUGUAAGAGUGGAUGUUCUAGCAGAUAAUACCAGUAGUUACACUCUUCAUCCACAAGCAUCUGUCACAUUGCCCAAAAAGACAGUGGCCAGAAUGCUUGAAGAACCCUUUCUGGCUCCUCUCCAGCCACUUUCUUCUAACACACCUAUGUGGGCCUGCCGUCUUAGGAGCUGUGAGAAAAUUGGAGAUUCAUACCGUGGCUACUGUGUAAGUGAGACCGAAUUAGAAAGUGUUCUAACAUUUCAUAAGCAGCAAACACAGAGUGUUUGGGGGACCCGCCAAUCUCCAAGUCCAGCCAAGCCAGCUACACGCUUGAUGUGGAAAUCUCAGUAUGUCCCAUAUGAUGGAAUCCCAUUUGUUAAUGCAGGGAGUAGAGCCGUGGUAAUGGAGUGCCAGUAUGGGCCAAGGAGAAAAGGUUUCCAGUUAAAAAAAAUCAGUGAGCAGGAGAGCAGGUCUUGUCAGCUCUACAAAGCCACUUGUCCAGCCCGGAUUUACAUUAAAAAGGUACAGAAGUUUCCUGAAUAUAGAGUUCCUACAGACCCCAAAAUUGAUAGGAAAAUAAUCCGAAUGGAGCAGGAAAAAGCCUUUAACAUGUUAAAGAAGAACUUGGUAGAUGCUGGUGGUGUUCUUAGGUGGUAUGUACAGUUACCUACAAAGCAAGCCCAUCAGUACCAUGAAUUAGAGACUUCCUGCCUCCCUUUGCCACCUUCCCCUUUUCCUGUGUCUUCUCUUGAAGAAGAGGGAACUGCAAUUAGGGAUGAGAACUGUGCAUUACCCUCACGUCUACAUCCCCAAGUAGCACACAAGAUUCAAGAAUUAGUGUCACAGGGAAUAGAACAAGUAUAUACAGUAAGGAAACAGCUAAGAAAAUUUGUAGAAAGAGAACUAUUUAAACCUGAUGAAGUACCUGAGAGACAUAAUUUAUCCUUUUUUCCAACUGUAAAUGAUAUUAAAAAUCACAUCCAUGAGGUACAGAAAUCCUUGAGAAAUGGAGAUAAUGUGUAUAACUCAGAGAUUAUUCCAGCAACGCUUCAGUGGACUGCAGAUAAUGGGCAUAUUCUCAGAGAGACUGUGACAGUUACAUUUGCAGAAGGAAAUUCACCGGGGGAAUCAAUUAACACCAAAAUGGAAACAAAUCAGACAAGGGGUUCUUUGUCUCCAGAGCCGGCCCACUUGCUUUCUUCACUUUCCUCAUUUCAACCAAAAGUAUUUACACAAUUACAGGGUUUGCAGUUGCAACCAAGAUUCACUUCUCCUGAUGGACCAUCGGCUGUGAUAUCAGUAAAUAACCACCCUUCCUCCAGUCCUUCAAGACUUCUGGAUUCAUUAGAAAGUACUGUACUGAAUAAUAAUUCUCUGCUGCUUGGUCAAAGUCAUAGUCUUCAAACAGAUACAUGCCUAACCCCAAACAGUAGCAUUAUUGCUUCUACCAUGACUAGCCUUCCAGGACCAGAUCAAAAUUUGGCUGCAAUGGACCAGCUGGUGGAAGUUGGAGAUGUUGAGGAUGCAGAGAAUAUGGAAGGAGGUGUUCACCGGAUUCUGCUGGGAAAUGGGCAGACCAUCCCAAUACAGAUUAUAGAUAGCCACCCAGCUCUUAUUGAAGAAAAUCCAGAAGGUACCAUUUCUCUGAGCCAAGUUAAGCAAGAACCCAAAGAACCAGCAUUGUCUAUGGAAGCAAAAAAAAAUUUGGACUGUAAGAAAUUAUCUGCCACAUAAAUUAUUGAAGCUUUUCAGAAUUUAUAACUUGGGUAACUUCUGAUGUCAUAAAAAAGAAGGUGAAUAUUGUCAAAGUGCAGUAUUGUGAUAGAUGGACUAAAGACUAGUUCAAUGAGCAACUUUGAUUUAAAACUGAUAUGUUUGUUGCCAAGUCCAUAUUUUUGGAAGCUAUUUUACUGCUGUCAUUUUGUAUAAUUCUUAUGCUUUUUGAUUAUCUAAUGAGGCCAGUAUUUCAAAAGAUCAUCUGAAUUUAUUCAUGACAAUAUAGUCUGAACACAAAUAGUUACAUAACUCAUCUCUUGAAAAUAUCUAAUUUGGGUUCUGAAAAGACAAAAACAACAAAAAAUUGUGUGUGUGUGUGUGUGUGUGUGUGUGUGACUGUGUGUUGACUUUUUAUUUAAAAGUGAUAAAAGAACUUACUGCCUCUUUAAAGUUGUGAAGAAAUUCUUUACAUUAUAGCAGACAGGUGAGAGAUUAUUUGUAGUCUGUCACAUUAGGGAAGAUAAAACAGUCGUAAAUUUGAAUCAUAACAUGAAGCCCAGCAUUCUCAUUUGUGGAAACAGUAGUUGCAUUUUGGCUUCUUCCAUUAUAAUUUUUUAUACUUCAAACUACAAACCAAUAGCAUACUAAUGGUCAUCUAAUAGAAAUUUAAAGUGUCUUGGUAAGUACUUAUAAUUUUAACUUGAAUUAAUCAGAUAAAACACAGAAAUAAAUGUAUAUUGCAUGGAUUUAUAUAGUAUUGUAGGUAAAGCACUACUUAUGGAUAGGAAAAUGUAGAAAUUGAGAGAAUUCAGAAAAAAUAACAGACUUCCCCUGGUGUUUACAGAUGAUUUGGGGGACUUUUUGGUAUCAGCAGGGGAUUUUUUUUUUUUCCUAUUUUGUAUUGAAGAUUCAGCUCUGGUUGGAAAACAAUUUGAGUUGUAUUUAUUUUUCUAUGCCAGAGUUCUUACUGAAUUGGUGGUAUUAGAAUUUAUGCUAUUUCAAGGUAAGUAUUUGUAGUUAAAAAAUUAGUUCAUAUUUAACACUUUAAAACAGCCGAUGUGUAUGUAUAUUUACUUGUUGAGUAAGUAUAUUUACUUGAAAUACUGAAUAAGUACUGAUCACUAUAUUCAUUGUAAGCUUCUGUUUUCUGAAAGGUUGGCAAACUAGAAAUGUCAAUUAUAAACUGUCAAGAAAUCAACAUAAAGGCUUUUUUUUACCCCAGGGACCAUGUGUGGGUAUAUUUAAGCCUUUAUUUUAAAAUAAUAAGGAUUUCAAAUGGAUAUGAAUAUUUAAUAUUCAAAGGAUAUGAGAUAUAAUAUGAAAUUUAACCUUAAUAUUUUACAUGAAUAUGAGUCAUUUUUAGCUUUUCUAAAUCCAGUCUCCCAUUCUUAAUUCAUUUUAAUUGUCGCAGGUACAUAUGUAUCUAAGUAUAAAGCAUUGUUAUAUUAGAAGUGAGUAGAACUUUAAUAAAAACAUCUUGCUCUUUAGAUUUAUACCCUAUUUAAUAUAAAAUGUAUUAUUUAUGCCCCUAUUUAAUACAAAGUUAAUAUUUAAUUACAUAUAUGAUUUUUAGUUAGAAUAGCUAACUGUUCUAAGAACUGAAAAUAUUUGAUGUCAGCAUUUUAGAGGCAGGCUGCCAAAUCUGAUUAUGUUACUCUAAGUUAAACACAGCUCUUAAUUACCUCAAACCCAGAUUCCUCUUAGUCUGUGUGUACUUAAAGGGUAUAAGUCUAAAUUUAUAUUUUAGUGUUACAUUGUAGAUAACAUUCUUUUCAUUUGUUAUUUCCAGUUUAUGGAAACUGUUUUCAAGAUUUUAAGUAAUCUUCACUUUUUAUUAAUGGCAAUAGCUUAUUAAAUAUUUUACCAAUUUAACUAUGUUCCUUUGGAGACAUUCUUUUCUUUUUUGAUGUUGAGUUGUUAAGGAGAAAUGCUUGUUAAGAUACAAACUCUAGUGAAUUACCUAUGAGAAUGAGAGAUGUUAGAGGAUUCAGACUUUGGCACUUAACAAAACACAGUUUUAACAAAACACAGUUAAAAAAUAUUUCUCUCACUUCAUUCUAUGUGAAUGUCUCUCUGGUACCCAUUUUUAUUUUUGUUUUUAUGAGGACAGAAAGUUACAGUGCAUCCACCUCACAAACAAAAAGCAAAAUUAAAAAAGAGCAUGAAGGAAGGUUUCAGUCCCUAAUUGUAUACUCUUUUGGUUUUUAGGUAGAAACUGGAACUAUCAAUAUUUUCAUGUUAUUUUGGAGGUAUUUUAAAGGAGCCAGCAUUUGACGGUCUUGGAGUUCUAAUCAAAACUGGUCAUCUUGGGAACAGCAUGCUUUUAUGAGGCGUUUUGAGCCUCCUGCACAGGGUCUCUCCUAUGGCAAUGGUGAGAAAUCUGCAUUAUUACUGUCAACACUACUGUUUGUCCUUGUCAUUUCUUCGUUGCGGAUCUAUGAGAGGAAGUGCACACGGACAAAGAUGGGUGCACACUUGCGGGUUCAGAAGGUUUCUCUUCAGACUGCCAUCCUUUGGAAAAACUGUCUCAAGUCAUUUAUGAAAGUUUUAUGAGAAUUUUGCCCACUCUUUUUUGUUUUGUCCAUGAAAGCCUGAUUCUCUUUAGGAGGGAGUCCCCAAGAUUCAAGACUCACAUUUGGCUAAGUGUUGCCAGACUCAUGGGUUUAUCUUUAGUUUGGUUCUGCAGCCAUUCUGGACUGGACUCCUGCAUCUUAAAUGUAUUUAUGCUAGAAUCAAAAUGUGUCUUGUUUGCUUUCUAAAUGAUAAAAAGAAUUAUUUGGAAUUAUACUUGGUUUAUAAUUACAUAUACAUAUAUAUAAUUACAUACAGUUAUAUAAUUAUAAUUGGUUAUAAUCAGGGAAACUUUUGAUAUAAACAAAACUGUUCCAUUUGGGGAGGUACUUUGAAGCAAAAAGAAAGCAAUAUCCCAAACACACACAUUUUAAGGCAAGAGGAAAAUUCCAAAAUAUAUUGAAGGGAUUGUGAAAUUGCGUCCUUAAAAGAUUCUUUGGCAAAGGCAAGAGAAAAUUUUGAAAAAUUUAAAACUGUCUUUUCUAAAUCCUUUCAAACCACAAUUUGACCAUGAUGUCCUUUAUUCUUCUAUCCACUUCUUUGUCCCGUGUUCCUCCAUGUCCCUCUGUCCUGUCUCUCCUUCUGACUUUUUUUCCUUCCCUUCAAAAUGCCCCAUAAAGAGUUUUACUACUCUAAAAGAGAAAGAUCACUUUAAUAUAAGAAAUACCCCUCUCAUUUUUAUACUUAAGGUAUUAACAAUUAUUGGCAUUUUUAUCAUAUAAAAUCAAAUUAUCAAGGGGCCUCAAUUACAGUUUAAACCAGUGGUAAUGACUGAUUCCCCUCCCUCAUCCUCUCUUGUGUGCAUGUAUGUCAAAAUAGGUUUUCCUGCAUCUAAACUUUCCCCUCGCUUUAAUUAAGCAGAGAUAAUUAGUCUUUUAUAGUGAUAAUUUUGUAUUUGACUAAAGCUGGCCACUCUCGUUUUUAAUUUCUAUUCCUCUUCUUUUCCCUCCCUAGGGAAACAUUAAAGAUUAAUUGAUGAAAACAAUUAUUCUCUCAUUACGUGUACAGUCCAGGAAUGUCUAGUAAAGAAUUUCUAAAAUAGAAAAAUCGUUAAACUGUGUUGUGCUUCUGUUUCUUCAAAAUUGCUUUUAAGAGAUAUUUCUGGUUAAAACUACAGGAAAAGAGACACUUGGGUGGCUCUGUCACUUGAGCAUAGACUCUUAAUUUUGGCUUAGGUCAUGAUCUUAGGGUCAUGAGACAGAACCCUACACUGGGCUCCAUGUUCAGCACAGAGUCCGCUUGUCUCCCUCUACUCCUCCCCGUGCUCGCUCACCCUCUCUCUCUCUGUGUCUCUUGCUAAAAUAAUAAAUGAAGUCUUUAAAAACUGCAAGAAAAGAAGAAAAAAACCUUGAUUCCAAAAUGAAGGGCUUUGAGGCAGGAUUUAAAAGAGUUUUUAUAAUUUCAUUUAUGAAUACAAAGUUUAUAUGUCAUGCAGAAAAUGUUCAUAAGAUAUUCCUGAUAGAGGAAUCAUUGGACAAAUUAGAAUGAGUUAAUCACACUGGUUUAAAGGAUUAAAAAACAAUUAUCUUCCUAACUUUAAAAAGUCACAUUAAUGAAAAAAAAAGUCACAUUAAUGCCAACAGGAUAUGCUAAUUUAUAUAAGAAGAUUGAACAUCUCAUAAUUUAAACUUUAUAUAAUUUCUUGCAUUGGAUUUAUGGGACAAAUUAUUUUCAUUUCUACAAAUUAUUUAUGCUUACAAAAAUUUAGAAUCAUGAUUAACUAGAUAAAAUUGUAAUGAUAGGUAUCUUCUAAAAGUUUAUAAUCUUAUUUCUACAAUAUCAAAAUUUUUUUUUAAAAUAUUUUAUUUAUUUAUUUGACAGACAGUGAUUCCAAGUAGGCAGAGAGGCAGAGAAAGAGAAAGGAGGAAGCAGGCUCCCUGCUGAGCAGAGAGCCCGAUGUAGGGCUCAAUCCCAGGACCCUGGGAUCAUGACCCAAGCCGAAGGCAGAGGC